GAUCAUUUGAUUGGAAUGAAAUUUGGAACGGGUAUACUUGACGACGACGAUAUGAAUCAUUUGAAAAAUAAACGUAUUCGUUCGGUUGCGGAUCUAUUACAAGAUCAAUUCGGAUUGGCUCUUGUCCAACAGAUGUAUUAG
rnacentral:rRNA from 1 species